AUGGAGGCUGCCAUAGUGGGCGCCUUGCUGAAGGCCACCCUGCCGAACCUGUUUAAGCUGAUAGGUGACACAUGCAAGCAGCUGGAGCCUGAUGUUCGAUUCAUUCAAAGUGAGCUCGAGUUUAUGCAAGCUGCCUUCGGAGAUUCUCGCUGGAGAGGCAACGAAAUCAGCGAUUUGCGGAGAACCUGGAUCUUGCAACUCAGAAGGUUGGCGCAUGAGAUCCAAGACUGCAUCGACAACUUCCAGAUCAAGAAGACCUCUCCCACACAGUUUGCCCACGAGAUCGCUGACCUCAAGAAGAGAAUACAAGAUUCAUCCGAGACGCUACACCGUUAUACCGGCCAGGGGGAGCCGAGGAACGGAAAAGUUGCUCCAAAUCCGACGGCGAAUGAUGCAGAGGAAGAUCUUCUUGCCCUCGUACAGAACCAAUCGGAGAUGAACGCCAAGGUCAUCUGCGCUAUUGGCUUCGGUGGCCAGAACACUGAUCUUGCGAGGCGGGUCUAUGAGAAGAAUGAAGUCCGUCGGCAAUUUGGUCAACGGGCGUGGGUCAGUGCGGUGGGCAGAACCGUGGAUGAUGUUCUGACGGAGAUACUCAGGCAACUUGAGCGGCGCCCUGGGCUGGGCAUGCUCAUCCUCAGCUGGCUCCUUUCCAUCUUGUGUUUUCUCCAAGGACUGCUUCUCAAGGUUUUCGGCACUGAGAUGCCUGUCGCAUCCCGGUCCGGCGCCAGCUCCGGCAUCGAUCAUCAGCUCAGAUCACUGCUAAGCAAAGAAAGGUAUUUGAUUGUAAUUCAUGAUGUCACGAAAGAAGAGGUGUACAAUAAAAUAUGUGCCUUCCCUUGGGCCAACAGAGUGGGCGGCAGAAUCAUCGUGACGACGGACAUCCAGUCAGCAGUGAGACCCUGCAUCUGUGAUAACGAUCCACCACUGCUUGUUCCAGAUAGCAUCACAUCUUGCCUGGUUUUGGUUGGAGAGGUGGGCACUGGGAUGUCUUACAAAGAGACCUGCUCUGCACUUUGUGACGCAGCUGUAGCAAGAAUGCAAUGUUUUGUUGGCAGUGACUAUGAGAGGAUUGUUGUCGAGGACAUGUUGCUAUAUUUCAGCAUGUUCCCACUUCAUCAUCAUGUUCGGAGGAAUCCUCUAAUAAGGCGAUGGCUGGCUGAAGGACUACUUGUCCAUGCCAUACAGAAGGUGCCUGAGAAUGUGUACCGUUUUCCUCAGGAAGUGGCGGCCGAGCAUUUGGACAUUCUCAUCGGCCAGAAUAUUGUCAAGUCCAUUAAGAAGAGCAACAAUGGAAAGGUGACGAGAUGCCAACCUCCAGGUAUGGUGUUCAACCACAUUUGCGCCAGGGCCGUGAUCGAUAAUUUUAACACCUUGCUGUGUGGCCCAAGUCAGAAUGAGACCUUUCAAGAAGCAUAUGUUCGCCGGUUUUCUCUCCAUCCUUACAUGGCUGCUGCCAACGGCGGACUCAAUGUGCCAGAUGUACAUUGUCUCCAUACUAUGGUGGUCUUUCCAACUGCGGGUGCCCAAUAUGGAGCUAUCUUGAAUUUUGAUAAUCAUAAGCUACUGCGGGUGUUGGAUCUUAAAGAGUGCGCUGAUGUGACUGCCAAUCACGUCUUAAAAAUAUGCGAUCUGUUGCUGCUGAAAUAUCUGAGCCUCGGGAGCAGUAUUAAAGAAGUUCCGAGUGAAAUAAGGCGGCUGCAGCAGUUAGAGACACUCGAUAUGAGUACAAGUGCGGUAGUGACGGUGUCCUCAAAUCUACUCAAGUUGCCCAGAUUGAAACACCUCCUUGGCAAGUUUCGGCUAUCUAGAGUGGACUGCCCAGAUGAAAAUCCAAGCAUGAUGAAGAAGGGCGCAAAGAAGGUAAAGAAGGUGUUGAAGCUCAAGGAUGAAUUGUCAAAGCUAAAGGACUUCUUGAGGGACAACAGUGUCCUGGAGACUCUAGCAGGAAUCGUCAUCGGCAACGGCAUGGGAUUUCCACAACUGUUGAGUGAUAUGGGGAAGCUGCGGAAGGUGAAGAUGUGGUGUGAUUCCAUGACAAAUGAGUCUACAGACUUGACUGGUCUUAAGGAAGGCAUCAAGGUAUUCACCAGUCACCGAAUCCGUACACCCAACGUUGAUUACUCACUCUCUGUUGACUUCAGCGGGUCUUCGCAAUCCUUCCUGGAUUGCCUGGAAGAUCCUGGCAUGCUUACAUCACUCAAACUGCGCGGCAAUCUGACGCGCUUCCGUCCAGUUGCUGCAAGGCUGGUUAGUCUACAGGAGCUGUGCCUCUCGUGGACUAAUCUUAGUGGAGCUGCAAUCCAAAUCGGCCUCAGUAAUUUGAGAUGCCAACUGAAAUUUCUGAAGCUGGUUGAGAACAAUCUUGUGGGGCUUGCCAUACAAGACAAGGAUGCAUUCGUAAGCCUGGAACGGAUAUGUCUCGUGGGCAUGCAAAGUCUUGAGGAAAUAAUUAUUCAAGAUCUGAGGAAGCUUGUUUCACUCCACUUGCUCUGUCCUGCUCUAGGUGCUCUUCCCGGCAUCCAGAUCCGAAAGCUCCAAAACCUCAAUGAAGUCGGACUCCACUCUCAAGUUGACGGUGACAUCAAACGUGGAUGGGAAGAUGCUGCGGUAGGCCAUAACCGCAAGCUCAGUAUUGUGUCCAUUGGAAUACAGUAA
rnacentral:rRNA from 1 species